rnacentral:rRNA from 1 species
AACGAACGCUGGCGGCAGGCCUAACACAUGCAAGUCGAACGGAUGUAGCAAUACAUUAGUGGCGCACGGGAGAGUAACGCGUGGGAACCUACCUUUUGGUUUGGGAUAACGUCGGGAAACUGACGCUAAUACCGGAUAAGCCCUUCGGGGGAAAGAUUUAUCGCCAAUAGAUGGGCCCGCGUUAGAUUAGCUAGUUGGUGAGGUAACGGCUCACCAAGGCGACGAUCUAUAGCUGGUCUGAGAGGAUGACCAGCCUCACUGGGACUGAGACACGGCCCAGACUCCUACGGGAGGCAGCAGUGGGGAAUAUUGGACAAUGGGGGCAACCCUGAUCCAGCCAUGCCGCGUGAAUGAUGAAGGCCUUCGGGUUGUAAAGUUCUUUUGGUAGGGACGAUGAUGACGGUACCUACAGAAUAAGCUCCGGCUAACUUCGUG